CUGAGGAUAUCGCAGAGUAUCCUAUCUAUUAAAUGUAUUCUUUUGUUUAGAUUGUAAUCUUUUAGUUUAACGAUCGAUUGAAAGACGCAACAGGAUGAGGUGGUCCCAGGUGCUUGGCGUGUGUGUGGUGUUGGAGGACUCAGCCGACCAGCUCGCCGUGCUCAGUCACAUCAUGGUGGAGCCGAGGACCAAUCAGAAGCAGGGGGAGUGGCAAGAGGACCACCUGGAUAAGAUGGACCGAGACAGG